rnacentral:rRNA from 1 species
GACGAACGCUGGCGGCGUGCUUAACACAUGCAAGUCGAACGAGAACGGGUUAUAGCUUGCUAUAAUUGUCAGCUAAGUGGCGCACGGGUGAGUAAUGUAUAGGUAAUAUGCCUCUUACUAAGGGAUAACAAAUGGAAACGUUUGCUAAUACCUUAUACUCCUUAUUAACAGAAGUUAAUAAGGGAAAGAUUUAUUGGUAAGAGAUUAGCCUGUAUUGUAUCAGUUAGUUGGUGGGGUAAUGGCCUACCAAGACUAUGACACAUAACUGGUUUGAGAGGAUGAUCAGUCACACUGGAACUGAGACACGGUCCAGACUCCUACGGGAGGCAGCAGUGGGGAAUAUUGCACAAUGGACGAAAGUCUGAUGCAGCAACGCCGCGUGGAGGAUGACACAUUUCGGUGCGUAAACUCCUUUUAUAUGAGAAGAUAAUGACGGUAUUAUAUGAAUAAGCACCGGCUAACUCCGUGCCAGCAGCCGCCGUAAUAC